rnacentral:sRNA from 1 species
CAGGAUGAAAGCUCCAAGAUGCUCAUAGCUCCUGUCCACGCCUGGAUUUAUCCUGUUCUAGGAGUCUGAAGGAGAAAGGGGAAUGCAACACCCAGCAGGGAGGCCCUGUUGAACAGUGCUCUCUCAUGGCUGUCCAUGGAGCUGUGCUGACAUUUGGGAAGCACGUGCUGGGUGAGGCAAGGGACACUCACUGGCUGGAGACAGAGGAAGGGGCAGGAUAGCACUUCCUUAUAUAACCAGAUAAAGUGAGUAUCGCCAAAGAUAGGGCUAGGCUUCCUGGUAAGGUCACCACUACUCUGCUCUUUCCAAAGAUAUAGGUAAAUCCUCUUUGGUUGCCAAGACUUCUAAGUAUUUAAUGACUCAGUGUAUAAGCCCAUUGAUGACCUCAUGGAUCCAAUUGCAUUCGACCUGGGCUAGGUAACCUUCAGGACCCAGUUGACAACCCAUUUCCUUAGUCUUCCUGCUCUCUGGCAUUUCCAAACUAGAGGCUCUGGUACGGCUGCUCUGAGCUCUGGGGCCCCUUACAGCUAGAGGGGAGAGGUGACAAGGCUCACUCAGAUCAGCUAGGGUGGAACUUGCACAUCUUGAGCUCUCUCUGUAGUAAUAGAUAACACAGUGGAGCAGUCAGUCCGCCUUUCUCAACCCCACCCUUCCCCAAGAUAUGAACCACACUCCCUUGUGUACAAGCCAUGACUCAGGACUCCUCCUGGCUGGCCAUCAGUUGAGCCCCUAGCGAGGAAUCUGCUUUACCCAAGGCUACAGACUCCAUCCUGCUUGGUGAGGUGAAGAAGGCAAGCUCGCACUCCCCACCUACUCUGCAGGCCUGCUGCUGCCUUCAGGAUUAUUCCCAGCAGAUGGGAUGAUUUCUGGCCCACAUGGAGCCACAGAGGCACUUGCUGUGGGGACCCCAGGGACAACAGGAGUGGAAGAGGCCAGUCCAGAAAACAAGUGAGAGCUGGGGACCGAACCCAGGGCCUUGUGCUUGCUAGGCAAGUGCUCUACCUCUGAGCUAAAUCCCCAACCCUGAUCCUUGGACUUCUAUUCACAGCUUCUGCUGAUCAUUGUUGGGGAGUUGGACUACAGACUGAUGUAAGGCUCUCUGCUCUGCUCCAGUGCCAUAUCGGUCUACCUCCCAUCACGAGUAACUAACCUGUACAACAAGCAAGUCCAGAAUUAAAUGCUUUCUGGUUCCAAUGUAGACUGAAAACUGGCAGCUCUUUUGUGACUUCCCUAGGAUUCAUGUUGUGGCUUGAACAACUGCUGGACCCUUGGCCACCGUUGGACUGCAGCAGUUCUUAACCUUCCUAAAUGGGGGACCCUUUAAUACAGCUCACGUUGAUGUGAUCCCCCAGCCAUAAAGUUUUCAUUGCUACUUCAUAACUAUAA